GAGACCCACAUCCAUUGUUGCGGCCGAGGAGAUUCUCCGAGGAGCAAGACUGUGGAGACUGCCGCCGAUAAGGCGGAGGAAGGAGUGGGCCACGGCAGGUCAGUAUGCCCCGAAUUCCCCGGGCCACACGCGAGCUGCAAUGGCAGGGACAAUGAGCUUCCGACUUCGAGAGGAGGAGGCAAUCUCUAAACCCUGUCUCAGUUGGGAUUGAGGGCUGCAACCCGCCCUCAUGAAUCAUGGAAUCCCUAGUAAUCGCGCAUCAUCACUGCGCGGUGAAUAC
rnacentral:rRNA from 1 species